rnacentral:rRNA from 1 species
UACAGAGGUGCCGAGCGUUAGGCGGAAUCACUGGGCUUAAAGCGCGUGUAGGCGGGUCGUUAAGUGUCCGCGUGAAAUCCCACGGCUCAACCGUGGAACUGCCGGGCAUACUGGCGACCUUGAGGCACUUAGGGGCGAGCGGAACAAAUGGUGGAGCGGUGAAAUGCGUAGAUAUCAUUGGAACGCCGACGGUGAAAACAGCUCGCUGGGAGUGUCCUGACGCUGAGACGCGAAGCCAGGGAGCGAACGGG